rnacentral:lncRNA from 1 species
CGGCUACGAUUUCCGAUUGUUCUGCGAUUAAAACUCGCGAUUAUUGAUAUAAUAUUAGAAUACUGCAGUCGUAACGCGUGUAAUAAAUCCUGUGAAAUAAUCUCGGCGAAUACCUGUCCUAACGCAAUGGAAUAAUAUUAUAGGUGCAUACCUAUAUACACUUAUGAAAACGCAUUUUAUUACACGGUCACGUUUAUGAAUUCAGUCGCAGUCGCAGGUGUAAUGGUAUUACUAUUAUUACCUAUUAUUACCACCUAUCGUAUACGCGCGAGACGAAUAAAAAUUUUAAAAAAACCGUGUUAUAAACUAUAUAUUUUAUAAUAUUUAUUGUGGUAUAGGCAACGGCCAACACCUACAUCCGAGUUGACCAGUUAUCAAAAUUAUGUAUACAUACGUAUAUUGUGUAUAGUUACAUAAAUGUGACGUGGACAGCGCGUUUGCGAAUUGCGGAUAAUGUUAUUUUCCGUGUGUAUACACUGUACGUAUACUGUUCGUAAAGUUUCCCGACAAAGACGUUUGGUACACGAAAAACCGUCGUUAACGAAAACAGAUUCCGAGUUGCGUACAAUCGAAUAACACGCACAUUUAAAUAUAUAAUGUGUACGGAAAUAAUGAAACCGUUAAUUUCGUUUUUUCCCAUAAUACGUUUCCCGGUUUUAUCAAAUUAUUAUCAGAAGACUAUACGAAAAAUCAAAAAAAAAGAUUUCUUACUCGGGGGCUAAAUCCAAAACGCUACACAAAAAUUAUUUUCUCAUUUUUCGAUCAGAGCAAGAUUUCUGGAGGAAAAGUAGUGUACAGACAUACCAGAUUAUUGUACUGAGUGAUUUUUUGACAGCAAUAAGCACUCCGCCCCCGCGUACCUUACUAUUUGUAUUUUUAUGCUAAAUAUUGUUAUAUAAAUGUUAUAAAAAAAAAAAAUGUACAUCUUUGUAAAACUAUAAGCUUCUACGCUCCACUCUGAAUAUAAAAAAUGAAAACUUGUCGACUAUAACGGCUUAUAUUAUUGUUAGCGAUUUAUUAUUAUUAGUAUGGUAUUAGGUAUUAUAUUUUUCUAUGAUCUUUUGAAAUAUUUACAUAUAAUGGAUAGGUAUUAUACGAUUUUUUUAAAAAAACGAAUUUAAUUGUUUUAUUAUUGACUUAUUGACUGUAACGAAUUAUACUAUAAUAUUACUAUAAAAUUUUAGAAGUAGCGAAUUUUCAAUAUUUUUCUGAGAAGGGGCCUAAAAAAUCAUAUGUUUUUAAAAGGUUUUUCUAUUAAUAGAUGCCUCUUUUUUGGACGAUAUUUUAUUGAAAUUAUAUCGGUGUCUGGGGAAUCCACCAUCCCUUUCCCCUGUAAAUCCGCCACUGUAAUUUAGGUACACGAUUCCCAAACAAUAUUUGACGAAAACGUCUCUUUACAAAUUAGGUUUUGAUGAAAACGGGCCAUGUUCUGCAUAGGGUACGCCACAUUUUAAAUCGAAUUGCAUUACCGUGGUUAAAAUGCUACAUAAUAAUAUUUGUACACGUGACGUCCUUAAUAGUUAAAUUAGAAGUGAGGUUUCCUUCGCUCUCCGUCUGAAUAAAAAUAAUUAAAUCAAAGGGUCA